GCAGUCGAGCGGACUGAUGGGAGCUUGCUCCCAGAAGUCAGCGGCGGACGGGUGAGUAACACGUGGGCAACCUGCCUGUAAGACUGGGAUAACUCCGGGAAACCGGGGCUAAUACCGGAUAAUUCUUUCCCUCACAUGAGGGAAAGCUGAAAGAUGGUUUCGGCUAUCACUUACAGAUGGGCCCGCGGCGCAUUAGCUAGUUGGUGAGGUAACGGCUCACCAAGGCAACGAUGCGUAGCCGACCUGAGAGGGUGAUCGGCCACACUGGGACUGAGACACGGCCCAGACUCCUACGGGAGGCAGCAGUAGGGAAUCUUCCGCAAUGGACGAAAGUCUGACGGAGCAACGCCGCGUGAGUGAUGAAGGUUUUCGGAUCGUAAAACUCUGUUGUUAGGGAAGAACAAGUACCGGAGUAACUGCCGGUACCUUGACGGUACCUAACCAGAAAGCCACGGCUAACUACGUGCCAGCAGCCGCGGUAAUACGUAGGUGGCAAGCGUUGUCCGGAAUUAUUGGGCGUAAAGCGCGCGCAGGCGGUUCCUUAAGUCUGAUGUGAAAGCCCACGGCUCAACCGUGGAGGGUCAUUGGAAACUGGGGAAC
rnacentral:rRNA from 2 species